rnacentral:rRNA from 1 species
UACGAAGGGGGCUAGCGUUGUUCGGAAUUACUGGGCGUAAAGCGCGCGCAGGCGGUCUUCCAAGUCAGUGGUGGAAAUCUCCAGGCUUAACUUGGAAACUGCCAUUGAUACUAUCAGUCUUGAAUACCGUGGAGGUCAGCGGAAUAUGUCAUGUAGCGGUGAAAUGCUUAGAUAUGACAUAGAACACCAAUUGCGAAGGCAGCUGGCUACACGAAUAUUGACACUGAUGCACGAAAGCGUGGGGAUCAAACAGG